UGGUGUUGUUCGGCUUGUCAAUCAGGGCUAGUGCAAACAGGUGUGUAUCAUUCAGCCCACUGAGCAGUGACUGACUGAGUUGUGGGAGAAAAGGGAACAGUGAAUUACAUUUUUUUAAACCUGUAAACUGAUUUUUUUUCAUCGCCUUUAAAGUUGAUAUGGAAAACUUGUCUGCAGACAGUUGUUUAUUUAUACAUCAGACAGUAAUGGAGCAACAUUUUCAUCCAUCUGGAAUCCUGUUUCCGGCCGCCUGAUGAAUAGUGGAUCUGCUGCUGGGCCACAUUUCAACACAGGAAUUCUAUUUAGAAGACCGAUCCGGCCGCUUUGUCUCAUCAACAACAACGCCUGGGGUCAGCAGAUUGUUCCAAGUGGACUGGUGUUUGCAUGACCCGUGGGAACUAUGGAAGAGUCUUCAGAAAUGCAGCCUCAAAAGAUGACAUCAAGGAAGAAGAGGGACGUUAUACAGACCAACUGAGACAACAUCUUCUCUCUGAGAAAAUGCUGAAAGAGCAGCUGGAGAACUGCAGGGAGGCUCAUCAGAAGAAGCUCAGCCGCCUCCGAGACGAGAUCUAAGACAAGCAGAGGAUGCUGGACGAACUCAGAGGAAGAGGAUGCAACAGUAAAGUAAUAUGUUUUCUCGAUACUUUGAUCAUUG